UCUACUAGUUGUUGGGUCUUAAUUGACUUAGUAACGCAGCUAACGCGUGAAGUAGACCGCCUGGGGAGUACGGUCGCAAGAUUAAAACUCAAAGGAAUUGACGGGGACCCGCACAAGCGGCGGAUGAUGUGGAUUAAUUCGAUGCAACGCGAAAAACCUUACCUACCCUUGACAUGGCAGGAAUCCUGGAGAGAUCUGGGAGUGCUCGAAAGAGAACCUGCACACAGGUGCUGCAUGGCUGUCGUCAGCUCGUGUCGUGAGAUGUUGGGUUAAGUCCCGCAACGAGCGCAACCCUUGUCAUUAGUUGCUACGCAAGAGCACUCUAAUGAGACUGCCGGUGACAAACCGGAGGAAGGUGGGGAUGACGUCAAGUCCUCAUGGCCCUUAUGGGUAGGGCUUCACACGUCAUGCAAUGGUACAUACAGAGGGCCGCCAACCCGCGAGGGGGAGCUAAUCCCAGAAAGUGUAUCGUAGUCCGGAUUGUAGUCUGCAACUCGACUACAUGAAGUUGGAAUCGCUAGUAAUCGCGGAUCAGCAUGUCGCGGUGAAUACGUUCCCGGGUCUUGUACACACCGCCCGUCACACCAUGGGAGCGGGUUUUACCAGAAGUAGGUAGCUUAACCGUAAGGAGGGCGCUUACCACGGUAGG
rnacentral:rRNA from 1 species